AUGCGACAACUGCACCAAGCUCAUAACCUUCCAUGGCUCCUAGUGGGUGACCUUAAUGAAAUAAUGUAUUUACAUGAGAAGGAAGGAGGCAAUCCCUGUCUAGUACAGUACAUGCAAGCUUUUCAAGAAGUUGUAGAUGUUUGUGGUCUGCAUGACUUAGGGUACAUUGGAGAUCAGUUUACUUGGCGUCGAGGGAGGAUUCGGGAACGACUCAACAGAGGCCUCGUGAAUGAUAUGUGGUCUGUCCGUUUCCCCCAUGCAGCGCUUCAGAAUAUUGAGUUUAAUCAUUCAGACCAUAGACCGCUCCUCAUAGAUACUGAGUACUACGUACAGGCACCUGGUGGAGAAAACAAUGCCGAGGUGAAAAUAUUUGAAACUCGUUGGCUGAGGGAAAAAAGGUUCGAUGAAACAGUAAUGGAAGCAUGGACAGAGGCGGGAACAGACCCAACUGUAACAUGCAUACAUGAGAAUCUUAAUAAAAUGCAUGCGAGCUUUCAUGAUUGGGACCAGAGGGUCCUUAAGAAGCCAAAAAAGUGCCUGCGCAAAGCACAAAGGGAGCUGGAAAAGGUCAUGUCAGGUCCUACGAAUGAUGAAAGUGAUUCACAAAGGAAAGAGUUGACUGAAUUGAUUGAAUACUUGUUGGAGUUAGAAGAAAUCUAG
rnacentral:rRNA from 1 species